AUGCCUGUGUGGUGUUCUGUGCCUGGCUGUGCUAAUUACAAACCAACGCGAAAAUUAUUUAUCUUUCACCUUCCUACCUACCAGAGAUUUACACCGAUACUGCCAGUGGCUUGCGGCUAUCAAGAACGAUGCGCCAUUCGGUGACCAAAUAUUAUCAGAGAGAUUUUCAGGUUGAACUGAUGGGGAAUCCAUUUCGACGACAGCAGAGUGGUACAGAAUCUGAUUCCACCAAUACGCGCUUCCAACCCCUAGCUUUGCACAAGGUUAUCUGGAGUCAUUCCACAGUGCCCUGCUGAAAAAUACCCCAAAGCUGCAGCAUUUUGGGUACACAAACAUGAGGGAGCACAACAAGAUUGUGUGACAGAAACCAGCAAGGGACACUGAAAGGAGACAUGCAGUACCAGAAAAUAUUCUGCAAGAGGACCAAACAGUUGGUGGUUAAACCCUACACCACUUUCGGCAGUCUUAUCCAGCUGGCACUUCACCGCAGACAGGACAAGACCAUUUGCCAUAAGCACAAAGUCUCAGCUUCCCCAGCCCACCAUGCCGAACACCAUUGCCAGUGUACCGAAGCCGGAUAAAGGACGACACAGGCAACCUAAUUCUGAUAUUUUUUUCACUAAUUGGUCUUUUGACCAAUCAGAUCAGUUCUGAAAAAGAGCUGAUGUGAUUGAGACCAAUUAAUGGAAAAAAUAUCAGAAUUGGGCUGCCUUUGUAAAUGCAGGCAGUGUGGCUCAGCACAAGACCAUGUAGAACAGGGGUCUCCAACCUUGUUCCUGGAGAGCUACCCUCCUGUAGGU